rnacentral:lncRNA from 10 species
GUCGGGGCCUCUUCUAGGCUCCGACAGACCCCUGGGCUUCCCGUAAGGCCCCCAGCACUGAUCCUGCCCUGUUCUCCUCACCAGUGUAGGCAUCCGUACCCAUCCUAAGGCAGGCAUGUGGUAGGAUGAUGAAUACACAGAUGAGACUCACUCAGCCCUCACCACUGGGGAGCUCAUGUCUAGAGGAACAGACUCAAGGACAAGGCAGAGAGGGGCUGGCUUAGAGCCCAGUGGGAAGCCCAAGAGAAGGCCAGCUGCAAAAGGGCAAUUCCCCAGGGGAGGUACCACCAUGGAGUAAGAACAGGAGUUUCCAAGUGGAGAAGAGGCAGAAGGCAUACCUGGCUGAAAACCAAGGAUGGUCCAAGGUCAGGUGUGAGAGAGGGCAUUGUACCUUCAGGAACUGCAGACAGGUCAUUAUUACCCGGGGUCAGGAUGCAAAAUGGCAAUGAUUAGAAGUGAGGCUGGUGGGUCGGCAGAGGACAGAUGGCACAGUCUUUGUAAGGUGCUAAGGAUUUGGACUGUGUCCUGAGGGCACUGGGGAGCCAUAGAAGAGGUGAAAGAAGGGGAACGACGUGGCCAGGUUUGCAUGUGGCAGAGUUCCCUCUGGGAAGAGUGAAAGCUGCACUGAAGGAGUGCAUGCGUUGAAAUCACCCAGGGAAAGGCCACGAAGCUUGAAUCAGGACGGGGUUGGGUGGAGUCACAGAGAGCAGGAGUGGGCAUUUGGGCAUCAGGAACAAUAGAAUUUGGUGUCCGCUGGGGUUGAAACAAGGGAAAUAGCCCUAGUGUAUCCCCAGGAUCUCAGCUUGGUGAACCCCCAGGAGUGAGGGUAGAGACUGGGGGCUGGCAAAACAGCUUGGGGAGGGUGGCCAGGACAAACAACCCCCAGUCCUCCCCUGGAUGAAGGUUAGACUGUAGGCCCCUUUUCAGACACUAGAGGGAGCUCCAGGAUAGGCCCAGGCUCCCCUCUCCAACCAGCUUAGCUUCCACCCGCUCUGGGAGGGGGAUAGAACCCAGCUCACCGUUCAGAUGUAGGUCCUGGGGGUCCUAUCGGAGCCUCGCCCAAGUCCAGUGGCCUCACUGUCUCUGGGCCACCUCCUCCUUCAGGCACCGAAUUGGCAGUGGAGAGGGGUCUUUUUGAGGCGGGAGCAGGCGGAGGCAGACUUUAGGAACUGCAGACAAGUACAGCCAGGCUGGGCCCUUCUAACCCUGUUCCCGCCCCCUGCCCCUACGGGAGAAGGGGAGUGACUCACCCAAGGUCGCAUGGACAGAGCACCCCAGGUGGGAUGGAAUGGACUCUUGAGCGGAAAGAGCACAGCAGCCCUUCCAAACCCCUUCCUGAGCCUUCCUACAAAAACCGAGAAACAGGGUCUCUGCUGCCACCCAAGCUGGAAUGCGGUGGCAUGAUCUUGGCUCACUGCAGGUUCAACUUCCCAGGCUCAAGGGAUCCUCCUGCCUCAGCCUCCCAGGCAGUUGGGACUACAGGUGGAUCUCCCAAGGACAUGCCCCAAGAAACACACGUGCAGUCCAGAAUCUGUUUCCAGGAACGCAGGCUGAAAUACUUGUCACAGACAAUCCUGGCAUUGAAUGAGACCCAACCCAGGUCAUCCGCAGACUCAUCGUUCCCAGGCAGACUGAACCUCAAUACUGCUUACAGACGGAGCCUAGUUUCCACCCCAGUCUAAGCUCAGAUCCUAGUCCCAGACUGAGCCCAGGCCUCCCAUGGAAAGCAGAGGGCCAUUUGAGACAAAAUGAAGAGAGGCUGCGUGGGAGGUAGAAGACUGGGGUGUGGCUUACACUGAGAACUGAGCCAGACUCACCCGGUCAGCCAGGAAGUCAGAGUCACGGAAUCUCAAUUCAGAGAGCCUCUGCCGUUCUAUAUGGAAGAACAAAGGCCACUUCCCCGUGUGCUCCACACCACGGAUUCUUCAUGCAUCUGUCCAUCCACCCACACAGCAUCUCUGUGACAAGCAUCUUCUAUGCACCAGGUCUGGGCUGGGUGCUGGGGACUGAGUGGGGAACCAGAGGCAGAGCCUGACCUUGCGGAGUGUUCAGGCUGGCAGGGGAGCCACACAGUCAAUAAACGUGCUCACAAGAAAUGAAUGCAUCUCCAUGUG